GGGGCCGUAGUCCAGCUUGGUUAAGAUGCUAGCCUGGGGUGCUAGAGAUCGUGGGUUCAAAUCCCACCGGCCCCA
rfam:Thaumarchaeota archaeon N4, WGS project CBTY01000000 data, contig: APF_1883_Contig_6